UUAUGGCCAUAUCAGGUUGGUUGAAACACCAGUUCUUGUAUGUUCACCAAAGUUAAGCAAUGUUGAGCCUGAUCAGUACCUAAAUGAGUAACCACUUGGGAAUACCAAGUGCUGUAAG